UAAGUUAGAAAGGGCGCACGGUGGAUGCCUUGACACUAGGAGUCGAUGAAGGACGGGACUAACGCCGAUAUGCUUCGGGGAGCUGUAAGUAAGCUUUGAUCCGAAGAUUUCCGAAUGGGGAAACCCACCAUACGUAAUGGUAUGGUAUCCUUAUCUGAAUACAUAGGGUAAGGAAGACAGACCCAGGGAACUGAAACAUCUAAGUACCUGGAGGAAGAGAAAGCAAAUGCGAUUUCCUGAGUAGCGGCGAGCGAAACGGAACAUAGCCCAAACCAAGAGGCUUGCCUCUUGGGGUUGUAGGACAUUCUAUACGGAGUUACAAAGGAACGAGGUAGACGAAGCGACCUGGAAAGGUCCGUCGUAGAGGGUAACAACCCCGUAGUCGAAACUUCGUUCUCUCUUGAAUGUAUCCUGAGUACGGCGGAACACGUGAAAUUCCGUCGGAAUCUGGGAGGACCAUCUCCCAAGGCUAAAUACUCCCUAGUGAUCGAUAGUGAACCAGUACCGUGAGGGAAAGGUGAAAAGCACCCCGGAAGGGGAGUGAAAGAGAUCCUGAAACCGUGUGCCUACAAAUAGUCAGAGCCCGUUAACGGGUGAUGGCGUGCCUUUUGUAGAAUGAACCGGCGAGUUACGAUCCCGUGCGAGGUUAAGCUGAAGAGGCGGAGCCGCAGCGAAAGCGAGUCUGAAUAGGGCGUUUAGUACGUGGUCGUAGACCCGAAACCAGGUGAUCUACCCAUGUCCAGGGUGAAGUUCAGGUAACACUGAAUGGAGGCCCGAACCCACGCACGUUGAAAAGUGCGGGGAUGAGGUGUGGGUAGCGGAGAAAUUCCAAUCGAACCUGGAGAUAGCUGGUUCUCCCCGAAAUAGCUUUAGGGCUAGCCUUAAGUGUAAGAGUCUUGGAGGUAGAGCACUGAUUGGACUAGGGGUCCUCAUCGGAUUACCGAAUUCAGUCAAACUCCGAAUGCCAAUGACUUAUCCUUAGGAGUCAGACUGCGAGUGAUAAGAUCCGUAGUCAAAAGGGAAACAGCCCAGACCGCCAGCUAAGGUCCCAAAGUGUGUAUUAAGUGGAAAAGGAUGUGGAGUUGCUUAGACAACUAGGAUGUUGGCUUAGAAGCAGCCACCAUUUAAAGAGUGCGUAAUAGCUCACUAGUCGAGUGACUCUGCGCCGAAAAUGUACCGGGGCUAAAUACACCACCGAAGCUGCGGAUUGAUACCAAUGGUAUCAGUGGUAGGGGAGCGUUCUAAGGACAGUGAAGUCAGACCGGAAGGACUGGUGGAGUGCUUAGAAGUGAGAAUGCCGGUAUGAGUAGCGAAAGACGGGUGAGAAUCCCGUCCACCGAAUGCCUAAGGUUUCCUGAGGAAGGCUCGUCCGCUCAGGGUUAGUCAGGACCUAAGCCGAGGCCGACAGGCGUAGGCGAUGGACAACAGGUUGAUAUUCCUGUACCACCUCUUUAUCGUUUGAGCAAUGGAGGGACGCAGAAGGAUAGAAGAAGCGUGCGAUUGGUUGUGCACGUCCAAGCAGUUAGGCUGAUAAGUAGGCAAAUCCGCUUAUCGUGAAGGCUGAGCUGUGAUGGGGAAGCUCCUUAUGGAGCGAAGUCUUUGAUUCCCCGCUGCCAAGAAAAGCUUCUAGCGAGAUAAAAGGUGCCUGUACCGCAAACCGACACAGGUAGGCGAGGAGAGAAUCCUAAGGUGUGCGAGAGAACUCUGGUUAAGGAACUCGGCAAAAUGACCCCGUAACUUCGGGAGAAGGGGUGCUUUCUUAACGGAAAGCCGCAGUGAAUAGGCCCAAGCGACUGUUUAGCAAAAACACAGCUCUCUGCGAAGCCGUAAGGCGAAGUAUAGGGGGUGACACCUGCCCGGUGCUGGAAGGUUAAGGAGAGGGGUUAGCGUAAGCGAAGCUCUGAACUGAAGCCCCAGUAAACGGCGGCCGUAACUAUAACGGUCCUAAGGUAGCGAAAUUCCUUGUCGGGUAAGUUCCGACCCGCACGAAAGGUGUAACGAUUUGGGCACUGUCUCAACCAGAGACUCGGUGAAAUUAUAGUACCUGUGAAGAUGCAGGUUACCCGCGACAGGACGGAAAGACCCCGUGGAGCUUUACUGUAGCCUGAUAUUGAAUUUUGGUACAGUUUGUACAGGAUAGGCGGGAGCCUUUGAAACCGGAGCGCUAGCUUCGGUGGAGGCGCUGGUGGGAUACCGCCCUGACUGUAUUGAAAUUCUAACCUACGGGUCUUAUCGACCCGGGAGACAGUGUCAGGUGGGCAGUUUGACUGGGGCGGUCGCCUCCUAAAGUGUAACGGAGGCGCCCAAAGGUUCCCUCAGAAUGGUUGGAAAUCAUUCGUAGAGUGCAAAGGCAUAAGGGAGCUUGACUGCGAGACCUACAAGUCGAGCAGGGACGAAAGUCGGGCUUAGUGAUCCGGUGGUUCCGCAUGGAAGGGCCAUCGCUCAACGGAUAAAAGCUACCCCGGGGAUAACAGGCUUAUCUCCCCCAAGAGUCCACAUCGACGGGGAGGUUUGCACCUCGAUGUCGGCUCAUCGCAUCCUGGGGCUGUAGUCGGUCCCAAGGGUUGGGCUGUUCGCCCAUUAAAGCGGUACGCGAGCUGGGUUCAGAACGUCGUGAGACAGUUCGGUCCCUAUCCGUCGUGGGCGUAGGAAAUUUGAGAGGAGCUGUCCUUAGUACGAGAGGACCGGGAUGGACGCACCGCUGGUGUACCAGUUGUUCUGCCAAGGGCAUAGCUGGGUAGCUAUGUGCGGAAGGGAUAAGUGCUGAAAGCAUCUAAGCAUGAAGCCCCCCUCAAGAUGAGAUUUCCCAUAGCGUAAGCUAGUAAGAUCCCUGAAAGAUGAUCAGGUUGAUAGGUUCGAGGUGGAAGCAUGGUGACAUGUGGAGCUGACGAAUACUAAUAGAUCGAGGACUUAACCA
rnacentral:rRNA from 1 species